AUCAAUGACCAUUCUACCCUGAAUGCACACAAUCUCACCUGAUCUCAGAAGCUAAGCAGGGUCAGGCCUGGUUAGUACUUGGAGGGAGGAGACACAUACUGAAAACUUAUUCUAUACCAGGUAAUGUUUUAAC
ensembl:rRNA 5S_rRNA 5S ribosomal RNA